GGGCUAGUAGCUCAGCUAGGUAGAGCAGCAGGCUUUUAACCUGACGGCCAGGAGUUCAAAUCUCCUCUAGCUCACCA
rnacentral:tRNA from 1 species